rnacentral:tRNA from 1 species
UCCCUGGUGGUGUAGUGGUUAAGGAUUUGGCAUUGUCACUGCUGUGGCUCAGGUUCCAACCCUGGCCUGGGAA